UACGUAGGUGGCAAGCGUUGUCCGGAUUUACUGGGCGUAAAGAGCGUGUAGGCGGCCAAACAGGUCCGUUGUGAAAACUGGAGGCUUAACCUCCAGACGUCGACGGAAACCGUAUGGCUAGAGUCCGGAAGAGGAGAGUGGAAUUCCUGGUGUAGCGGUGAAAUGCGCAGAUAUCAGGAAGAACACCAAUGGCGAAGGCAGCUCUCUGGGACGGUACUGACGCUGAGGUGCGAAAGCGUGGGGAGCAAACAGG
rnacentral:rRNA from 1 species